CACGUAGGGCGCAAGCGUUGUCCGGAUUUAUUGGGCGUAAAGAGCGUGUAGGCGGCCAUACAGGUCCGUUGUGAAAACUGGAGGCUUAACCUCCAGACGUCGAUGGAAACCGUAUGGCUAGAGUCCGGAAGAGGAGAGUGGAAUUCCUGGUGUAGCGGUGAAAUGCGCAGAUAUCAGGAAGAACACCCGUGGCGAAGGCGGCUCUCUGGGACGGUACUGACGCUGAGACGCGAAAGCGUGGGGAGCGAACAGG
rnacentral:rRNA from 1 species